AAAAACAUGUCCUUUUGUUUAUGAUUUAAGGUCUGACCUGCCCAAUGAUUAUUUAAAUGGCCGCAGUAUUUUGACUGUGCAAAGGUAGCAUAAUCAUUAGUUUUUUAAAUGGAAGCUGGUAUGAAUGGUUUGAUGAGAAAAUAACUGUCUCAACAUAAUUGAUUUUGAAUUUUAAUUUUAAGUUAAAAAGCUUAAAUGUUAUAGAAAGACGAGAAGACCCUAUAGAGUUUUAUUUUUUACUUAAUAUGUUUUUUUUGGGUUUUAAUAUUACUUAUUAUUUAAGGAAUUUUGUUGGGGUGAUAUAAAAAUUGAAUUAACUUUUUAUUUAUUUUUACAUUUAUUUAUGAGUUUUUGAUCCUUUGUUUGAGAUUAAAAGAUUAAAUUACCUUAGGGAUAACAGCGUAAUUUUUUUGGAGAGUUCUUAUCGAUAAGAAAGUUUGCGACCUCGAUGU
rnacentral:rRNA from 1 species